UAGGAGCUGUGGUAGGUGCGUAAUGUUCCCUACUAGAAAGGAGAGGGCAAGGCUGGUGCCAGCCGCCGCGGUAAAACCAGCUCUUCAAGUGGUCGGGAUAAUUAUUGGGCUUAAAGUGUCCGUAGCUGGUAAGGUAAGUUCCUGGUAAAAUUGGGCAGCUUAACUGUCCUUAUGCUAGGAAUACUGCUUUACUAGAGGGCGGGAGAGGUCUGAGGUACUACAGGGGUAGGAGUGAAAUCUUAUAAUCCUUGUAGGACCACCAGUGGCGAAGGCGUCAGACUGGAACGCGCCUGACGGUGAGGGACGAAAGCCAAGGGGAGCGAACCGGAUUAGAUACCCGGGUAGUCCUGGCCGUAAACGAUGCACACUAGAUGAUGGUGCGGCCAUGAGCCGUAUCAGUGUCGUAGGGAAACCGUUAAGUGUGCCGCCUGGGAAGUACGGUCGCAAGGCUUAAACUUAAAGGAAUUGGCGGGGGAGCACCACAAGGGGUGAAGCCUGCGGUUCAAUUGGACUCAACGCCGGGCAACUUACCAGGGGAGACAGCAGAAUGAAGGUCAGGUUGACGACCUUACCUAACAAGCUGAGAGGAGGUGCAUGGCCGUCGCCAGUUCGUGCUGUGAGGUAUCCUGUUAAGUCAGGCAACGAACGAGACCCGUGCCUUUAUUUGCCAUCAAGAAGUCACGACUUCGUUGGGAACGAUAAAGGGACUGCCGUCGAUAAGACGGAGGAAGGAGCGGGCAAAGGCAGGUCAGUAUGCCCCGAAACCCCUGGGCUACACGCGGGCUGCAAUGGUGCGAACAAUGGGCUGUGACUCCGACAGGAGAAACCAAUCCCGAAAUCGCAUCUCAGUUGGGAUUGUCAACUGUAACCCGUUGACAUGAACG
rnacentral:rRNA from 1 species